rnacentral:rRNA from 1 species
UACGAAGGGAGCUAGCGUUGUUCGGAAUCACUGGGCGUAAAGCGCACGUAGGCGGAUGUGUCAGUCAGGGGUGAAAUCCCGGAGCUCAACUCCGAAACUGCACUUGAUACUGCCUUGCUCGAGUACUGGAGAGGAGAUUGGAAUUUACGGUGUAGCAGUGAAAUGCGUAGAUAUUCGCAAGAACACCAGUGGCGAAGGCGGCUCACUGGCCCGGUACUGACGCUGAGGUGCGAAAGCGUGGGGGAGCAAACAGG